AUACGGGGGGUGCAAGCGUUAAUCGGAAUUACUGGGCGUAAAGCGCGCGUAGGCGGUUUGCUCAGUCGGAUGUGAAAGCCCAGGGCUCAACCUUGGAACUGCAUACGAUACUGGCAAACUAGAGUGUGAGAGAGGAUAGUGGAAUUUCCGGUGUAGCGGUGAAAUGCGUAGAUAUCGGAAGGAACAUCAGUGGCGAAGGCGACUGUCUGGCUCAACACUGACGCUGAGGUGCGAAAGCGUGGGUAGCAAACGGGAUUAGAAACCCGAGUAGUCC
rnacentral:rRNA from 1 species